rnacentral:rRNA from 1 species
UACGUAGGGUGCAAGCGUUAAUCGGAAUACUGGGCGUAAAGCGUGCGCAGGCGGUGAUGUAAGACCGAUGUGAAAUCCCCCGGGCUUAACCUGGGAAUGGCAUUGGUGACUGCACGGCUAGAGUGUGUCAGAGGGGGGGGUAGAAUUCCACGUGUAGCAGUGAAAAUGCGUAGAGAUGUGGAGGAAUACCGAUGGCGAAGGCAGCCCCCCCUGGGAUAACACUGACGCUCAUGCACGAAAAGCGUGGGGGGAGCAAAAC